rnacentral:lncRNA from 1 species
GAGACUUCAGAGAGAAAAAAUGAAGAAGCUAAAGAUAGAGAUUGAAACCAGUGAGAGAACGAGGGAAAUCUUAUAGAAAACCAUCGCUUUCUGAAACUCUAACCCCAAAGCAAAAGAAAACCUAAAACUAGGGCACAACCACCCUAGAUCUAUCAGAGACUUGCUGAUCGACAUCUGGAUCGGAAGGGUAAGAGGAGCCGGUUCUGAUACGGGGGAGUCCCGGGCCAUCCGGCCCGAUCAGGUACUCAUUCACCUUUCAUUAAUUCUUUAUUUUAUUUCAUUUAUUUGUUUUGAUAUGAAUUUGAUUUGUUUUGAUUGAAAAAUCCUAUUUUGAAAUGCUUUGGAUCAUGCUGGCUCCGCCACAGAUCUGAGAGCAGAUCUUUUCUUUGUAGGCAGAUCUGAUCUCAUAUCUGAAUUCGAUUGUUCCCACUAACUUUACCAUUUUAUUUCUUUCAUUUUUCAUUAGUUUAAAGUGUCAGGAUCAAAGUGAUCUACUUCCAUAGAUCAGUUCGAUUUUGCGCGGUAAACAGUUUGGCGCCCACUGUGGGGCUUAUUGAGCAUGAUCCGAGCAUCAAAAUUUCAAAAAACGCAGACUCUUUAGAACGUUUGCAAGCAUGUUCUAAGUAGAAUUUUGUAACUGUUCCCAAAGGUAUAGGUCAAAAUAAAAUAUGGAAAAAUACAAAACAAAUAUGUUUUUGUUAGAUCUGCAGUCCCCUUCUGUCGCUUUAUUUUAAUUUAUUUUCAUCAAAAAAAAAUUUUAUUUACAUUUAUCCAAGUUUACAGUAAGAUUAUUUUCUCAGGAUCUACAAGAAAAAAAUAUAAAAAAAUAUAAAAAAAUAAUAAUAAGUUUUUGGGCGACACGGGUCGUGCCGCUCAGGUCUAGGGCGACACGCCCUCGGAUGCUCCUCAUCGCCCAAGUUAGCUUUUUUUAAAAUUUUGUACGCUGGGUCCGGGGUCUCUUUUGUGACUGUUCACAAAAUUUUAGAGAAAAAUAAAAUUUUAAAAAACGAAAAAUUUUUUUUUUGCUUGAGAUAGGUUUGUUAUAUCAAUUGUUCUUCUAUUUCAUCUAGAUAAACAAGAUAAAAAAUAAAAAUAAAAAUAAUUUUUUUUGUUUGGGUAUAGGUCCGACAUGUCUCGUGCUGCUUGGGUGACACAGUUCGUGCCGCCCUAUCACAGAGGUCCCAAAACAAUUCUUGGACCCCACGGGCUUGUUCUAGAGCAUUUUUUGUGCUUGCUCACCAAUAUUUGGCUUAAAAUAUUUUUUUUUUUAAAUAUAAAAUAAAUAUUUUGCUUCAGAUAAGUCUGUCCUAGUCUUGACUUUUUCUUUUCUAUUUUAGUUUGUUAAUUUUGACUGAAUUCUUGUUUUCCCUGUUUUCAUCAUGCUUAGUUUAGUUGUUUUUCAUCAAAUUUAAAAGAAAAGAAAAGAAAAUAAUAUAUAUAUAUAUAUAUAUAUAACAAAAAAAAACUAAUUGAGGGUUCUCUCCCUGAAUCGUGUCUCGUUCGAGUCAUCCUCGAAUCGGGUCACGCUCGACUUAGCACGAACUGUGCCUGGUUUCACUGCUUUGACCAUACAUUCUUAGGGGUUUCUCAUCCCUCCAACCAUACAUUCUUAGGGGUUCCUCACCCCUCCUCGAGUGAGUUUCACCUCGAAGCGUGCAUCGAUAGGGGCAAUCAGCGUCAACCACUCAGUUGUUUUCUUUCUUAUUGUGUGCAUGUGUCUUGAUUUUAUUGUCAUUUGCAUGCUUCUUUACACACUCUAGCACACACUGACCAAGAAUCCCAGAAAUCUAGAAAACAAAUUUUUUGAAAACCCUCAAAAUCCGCAUUAACAACGUGAGGGGAACCCAGCUUUGAGAGUCGAGGCAGUAGGGAUUCGCGUAACUUUGACUGUGAGGGCUCCUUCGAUUCAGUCUGAGGCCCUUCGAAGGACCUAAAUCGAAGGGGUGCCCCUUCGAUUUAGACUGAAAAAAUCCUAUAACAGGAGGCCUGGACCUAUGCGGGGACCUAUAUCAGCCGAGCCGCAUUUCAGUAGUUAGAAACCCACUCUGAAGCCAAGCCUACCUAUAGUACUAUACUAGGUCAAAUUCUUUCAUGCUCUUGAUUGCUUAUUGAUCUUGGGUCUCAACCCGAAUCUGCUUUUGGUCCGAGCUGAACCCUCUGGGUCCAAGUUCAGACUUGUACCCAGCCUAGCCCAGGUCCGGACCAGGUUUCGCCUUGGACCGAACUUAGGGCCCUCUUGGUCCAAGCUGAAGGCUUGUUCCUAGUUCAUCUUUGAUCCAAUCCAAAUCCAUACCUUGCCUGAUCAUUAAAACUCUUUGGGUCCAAGUUCAGGCUUAUACCUAGCCUAGCUCAGAUCCGACCCAGGUUCACACCAAGGUUCGAAUCUCCGCCCCUUUGUGGCUCGAGCCAAGGGCUCGUGCCUAAACCAACUUUGAAUCAGUCUGAGUCCACACUCGAUGUUAUUAUCAUAACCCUCUAGGUGCAAUCUCAGGCUUGCACGCAGCUCAGUCUAGGUCCGAAUCAGGCUCACACCUAGGUCCUUGGAUAGAGUUAGGCCUGUGCGGAGGCCAAGCACUAAGAACCUUUUGGUCGGCAUUGUUUGCUGCUACACCAGAUUCGCUUUUGAUGGUCAAGGUAUCUCUAGAGGUCUCGUCUAGCGAGGUCCAGUCGGGGGCUUUUGACUUAUUCCAAAAGUCUAGUCUCAUGUAGGCUAGGGGAUUUGAUGAGGAAUACCCUGAAGCCUGUGGCAAGUAAGACCAUGGCUUUGUCAGUUUCUUGCCUUCGUGAUGGCUUGUAGCAUUUCAGAGGGAUCUUUUGGUCAUCAAUCUCACCCUCGAGGACUCUUCUUGUUGUUGAGAGAUCUUAUGCGGCUCUCACUCCCUGACGAGCCAUGUUGUUCAUGUUUGAAGUGGGGGAGAUCUUAUGUAGCUCUCACUCCCUAGCGAGCCAUUUUGUGUUGGUUGAUGUUUGACAUUUGAGGAUUUUAGGUAGACCUCAUUACGAUCAUCAUUGUUUUAAAAAUUGAGUGUCGGCUGAGACCUCGGUAUGUGUCAACCUGUGUCGUCGGUUCAAGUGCCCUUUUAAGGGUUUUCACUUGGACAAGUGAAGUGGCACCGCAAAGACGAUUUUCACCGACUUCUGUUAUUUUUGGGCUCUUUUACCCAUGACCUUGCAGUCAUCUCCACCCUAUUCAUCCGUUUUUGCUCAUGAUGCCCUUUUGGGGUUUUCACUACGCUUGGAUUUUGUUUUCCACGGAACUCUCUUUUUCGUGGUUUCGUGACCAUGCCUGUCUAUCAUUGUUACUCAUGACGCUCCCUUGUCCAGGUGUACACCAUGCCCAUUUUUUGUGAAGCCAUGUUUUAGGGUCGUGCCUUCGAGACCUGUGAGAAUCCUUUUAAUGUCAUGCAGUCAGGACGUGCACUGUAGUUUAGGGUCAUACAACUGGACCGUAGUGAUGAUGAGUGAGUAUGGUCAGGGCUUUGACUCACUCUGAGGGGAUGACAUGAGGUUACUUGUGAAGAGUUGAUGAUGAAUGGAUGGUGGGUGAGUACUGGGUCACCCACUAGCUAACGACGAGUAUGGGAGGCGAGCUGGCUUGCCAUUUCAUGAGAAUGGGUAAGACUCACUGGGGUAUGGUGAAAGAUGGUAAUGAUGAAUGGAAUCAUUGAAAAGGUAAUGAAGGUGGUGCGUGCACAGGAACUGGUCAGUUAGGGUUGAGAGAACGUGUGUGAAGAUGCAUGUAAAAGGGCGUGUGUGCAUAUGCGGGAGCGUCUUUAAGGUCAUUCCUCCAGGACCUGGGCGAAGCAGUUUAAUUUCAUGUAGACAGGACGUGUACUAUGGUUUAAGGUCAUAUAACUUGAACCGCAGUUAUGCAAUUUAAAGUCAUGCAACUCGGACCGUGUAGUUUAAAGUCGUGCAACUAGACCUCCGCUAUAGUUCAAGGUCAUAUAGUUUAGACCACAACUAGGACCAUGCAGUUUAAGUUCGUGCAACUAGACCUCCACUACAAGUUAAUGUCAUAUAGUUUGGACCAUGGGUGUGCAGUUUCAGGCCAUGUAGCAUGGACCAUGGCAGUGCAAUUUAAGGUCAUGCAACAUGGAUCAUGGCUAUGCAGUUUAAGGUCAUGCAGCAUGGACCAUGGCUGUGCAGUUUAAGGUCAUGCAGCAUGAACCAUUACAUAUGUCGCCAUGUGUAUGAAGCUCUAUUGAGGAUAGAUUUGUGAAUAGCAAUUUGACUCCCUGGUGAUAAAAUAGUUAAGGCUAUUCACAAGCGGAGAGCUUUAGAUGAAGAUGGUGGCCCUACAAAGAGUGAUAAGUGGAGGCGAAUCUUCACUAGGGAUUAAGGGGGCCAAUGUGACACCACGGGGAUAACGAUGGGGCUUCAUGUAACUCUAUUGGGGAUGACAGUCCCAAGUACAAGCGUAGCCCUGUUGGGGGUUGAGAAGAUAAGCAUGGACCUAACACCCUGGGGAUAGUGGGUCGCAAUAGGAUGUGACUCUCACUGAGAUGUUGGCACGAAAUAGACUCAUUGGGGAUUAAAAGGAUAGGUAUGUCCUUUUGCAGACAUCUAACUCCACCGGAGAUGUUGAUGAAAUGCCCCUUAGUGAAAAGGUGGUCCAUCUCUUGGUUAAAGAUAUGUGUAUGAGCCAUUUGUCACGUUGUGCAAUACAGUUUUAGGGUCUUGUAGCUCGGACCAUUGCUAUGCAAUUUUAGAGUCGUGCGGCUAGGACCAUGUAGUUUAAGGUCGUGCAAUUAAACCUCCGCAGUAGUUUAGGGUCAUAUAGUUUGGACCAUGGCGUUAAGCCUUUUAAUGUCAUGUGGCUAGGAUGUGCACUAUGGUUUAGAGUCACACAGCUGGACCAUGGUCGUGCAGUUUAGAGUCGUGCGAUGAGGACUAAGCAGUUUAAGGUCGUGCAAUUAGACCUCUGCUACAGUUUAAGGUCAUAUAGUUUGGACCAUAAUCGUACAGUAGUCAUGUGACGAGGACUAAGAAGUUUAAGGUCGUGCAACUAGACCUCAGCUACAGUUUAAGGUCAUAUAAUUUGGACAAUAAUUGUGCAGUUUAAGGUUUUGCAGCAUGGACCGUUAAGUGGUGAAGGCAUGCGACUCCAUGGGGAACAAAGUCGUCACCAGAGACUAGACUCCCUAAGGAGUGAGACUGUGGCGUAGGGAAUGAACCUCUUGAGGUGGUAGGAUAAUGGUCCAGAUGGGAGUGCCAUGGCAUGCGUGUGACACUAAACGUUGGAUGGCGCACGUCGCAUUAGGUCUAAAUGAUGCGACACUGCAUUACAUACUUGUCAAAGAGGGCAGCGUUAAGUUCUUAACGAAGGCACGCGGCAAUAACCUCUGAGCGAAGGCGCGCGACGAUGGCUAUUGACGAAGGCGCACGGCGAUGGCCUUUGGGUGAAGCACACGGCGAUGGCAUUUUUUGGUCUAAGGUUUUGACCCGCCUCGGCUUGGUUUUAUUGCCAUCAGGAACUAGGGAUUGGAGCAUCCUUUCAUGUUUGUCGACGGCAGUUUGUUGUACUACUGAGUAUAAAAUGGAGAAAAAUCCCUCUUUACUAUUUUACUGAAGGAUAAAACAGUUGAAGAGUUUUCUUAGAGAGAGAGGGCCUGAGAUUCUUGGGAGAGAUUUCUUGGCUAUAACUUCUCAGCAAAAAUCUGCAGUAGAAAGGGGGCUCUUUCUGACGAGCUUCAGUGUGUUGUGGGCCUUUGUGAAGUUCUUGCGAACAUUCUUGGAGAGUGCCGAUGCUCUCCGAGAAAUGAACAAGGUUUCUUGGGGCCUAAGCCAGGUUCUCAAAGGUGCGCUGCCAGAGUUUGAGUGCUCCUUUGGUCAUUCCUUGGUUGAAGGUAGGUUACAGAGACUUCAGAGGACUCUAUCAGUCCUCUGGUUAUUGGAGGACAAGGAGGAGGAACAACAGUGAGCUCAUUGAGAAUCAGUAGACUUUCGGUGAGCUUGUGACGAAUUGCCGAAAUGCAGAAGCAGGAAGAAGGGAAACCCGCGGGGUCACAGGGAAGCUUUCGGGGAUUUUCGAUGGUUUUCUCUAAUUCUGGUAAUGAGUGGAAGGAGGGGAAGGGCUUCCGGUGAAUAGGAGCGAGUUCUUAGUGAAGAGGGGAAACGUCGGUGGUAACCCAAAGGGUUGCGAUGCCAUAACGGUCGAGCGACGAAGGGUCAUGGGACGGCGAAUGGUCGCCCUCCGCACCUACGGUGACAAGCCACGCAUCAAGUGUCAGCCGAUGUGUCCGUAUUUCAAGGAACGCAUGUGUAGCGCGUGCUUGAUAGUUAGAGCACAAGCAUUAAUAAAUCUUGCUCGCGAGACGAUGAUACCAUCUCACUAGGCAGAUGGCGAUAGUCUUCCCCCUUGGCUUCCCCCUUGGCUUCGCCCUUGGCUGUGGGACGGCGAUACCCUGACAUCAUUACACCCUGAGUGCCCAAUCAGCGAUACGCCUUUGUGAGUGUAGUCUCUUCGUGGCCGCCUAGCAUCCUUUGCCAGUGAAGCUUCUAGUCUAAUGAGCGAGUCUUCAGGUGCCAUUCAAGAUGUGAGGAAUCUCUCACAAGAAGGGGAGCUUGGGACUGUUGAAUUCACCGAUGAAAGCUUGGUGGGAGGUGAGCCAAUAUCGCUCACCGAGGCCUUAUGUGAACCAAGGUGACCCUUGAGCAUUACCUUUGUGAGCGCCCCCAUCCAGUUGGUGGCGAGGGAAGAUAAUGAUGAGAAUGUGAGUAUAGAGGAAGGGGUAGGCCUUCUGCAUCGCCUGCACCGAAAUAUAGCCUCUAAUGCUAGCUUGCCGACUCUAGGCAAGAAGAUGGUGGAAACCCUAGGUAUGAAAUGGUGUUUUAUCGGCUUGCGGGUACAAGGAGAGAAUCAUUACCCGAUGGGGUACUCCUCGUGGACCGUGAAGGUGUUGAGGCGUUUUAGAAAUACCUUGAGACAGGCUUCUUUGGCGGCUGCCCUCCAGUGCUUGAUGGGCUACUACUAUCGUUGCUCUAACAUGGUCAAAGUGUUGUUGGAAACUUGGAGCCAUGCUAGCAACAUAUGGCUGCUUGGUCAUGGGGAGGUAGGGAUAUCGCUGAUGGACCUGCACUUCGUUGGUGAGCUGCUGCUCCUUGGUGUUAUGUACGACUAGUUUAUUCCCUUAAACUCGGUCAUUUUUUGCGAGGAGAAAGUAAGUAAAGAAGCCCCACCUACUGGGCUUCAAGAAUUAUUUGAAAUGUACCAACGGCUUUAUGAUGAGCCCAAAAGUGGGUGAGUCACCCAAAUGGGUAACGUACUUCUUCAGCGACUAUACCAAUGAAGCUGGUUCGUCGCCGAGAAAAGAGGGGAAGGAAACCCCACCAGUUUUCGAGCUAUGAAAGAAGAAUGAGCACAUCUACCUGGCGGCUUACUUGGUGCUCUUAUUUUGUAAAUUUGCCUAGCCAGGAGGGGCAAACAUCAUUCGUCCCGACACUUUUUACGUGGCCUAUGACAUAGCGUGAGGGAAGAAGUACGCACUCUCACAACCCAUUCUGUCCAGUCUUUAUCAUGUCUUGGGAGCCAUUUCCAGGGGAUGGCAGUAUCAAGGGGAUGAAGGAGGGAAUGGUGUCAUAGAAGGCGAGGCCUUCCUAAGAGAUUUCAAGACUUCUUUCCCGGUCCAUUAUGUGUAUGGCUGGCUUGGAGCUUACUUCCCGGGCACAUACCUCCAAACCAAAGAGUUAGAGGACACCGUGUGCCCAUUUUUGCUAAAGAUUUCCUAGCAGAGGGCAAUUGUCCAUCCCCCAGAACAUGCGCGCUGCUUGUUCUUCAAGGAUCACCUCCACAUGAUCUAGGUAGCAUUCCCAGUUGCAGGUCUCACAGACCAUGCGUAUGUGGACGAGCUGGGCCACCACCUAGAUUGUGACUUCACCAGCUCAAAAUAAUUGAUGUUUAUGCUGGGUGUGAGAGGCAGAGUUCUUGCCUAUCGCACUGUCCAUGCCAUGAAUCUUGAGGGCUACUUUCCUCAUUGGUUUGCCUGACAGCAUGGGCUGGAUCAGGGCUGCCCGUUCUCCAUAUUCUUUGAGAAACGGCAUAGCAAGGCAGCCCAUUGGAAGAAGGAUGGGUUUAGGAACCCUCAGGGGGAUUCGGCUCCUGAAGCACAUUCGCACUGCCUGGGCAACAUGCUUGGAGACCACUAAGGUCAAUAAGUAUGUGCUGCCCCAUUUUGGCAGAACGGUACGGGCAACUGAGGCCCAUCAGCGCUGGUGGAGUAUCACGAACAAGGGGUAUUGGGACGUGGAACACCCUUAGAAAGGGGAGGGUAACCACUAGAGCCAAGACACAACACAACAGAAAAUGGCUAGGACCCCUCCCCUAGGCUAAAUCUUUACCCUGGGCUUCCCUCAUGACUAGUGCACGGUCGGGCGGCCUCUUCAGACUGCCGUGGACGAAUCUUUGCCACGGUUUCUCAAUAUGAAGAAAACGACGCAGAGCAUUUUUUACAACCCCUCUGCUAUCUUCAAAUGAAAGGAAGGUUGCAAAGUCCCGAGGCAUGAAGGGUGUACGGUCAAUGAUUUGAAUAAGCUGAUAGGGAGCGACACUCAUAGCAAGUUAGCUGCUAGUUCUUCCAAGUCUGGCACCUCGAAGGCUGCUGCGCCCAAGAAGACAAAAGGAAAGAAGAGGAAGUGGGCUGCCUCAGUGAUUCCUCGUACUUCAGCCAAGAAGGUGACCAUGACUUCGGGGUGUAAAAGGCGUAAGGCUCUAGUGGUUCGUGAGCCAAAAGAUGGCUCCUCACCCUCGGCUUCUUUGGAGGGUUGUGCGUCCUCUACAUUGCCCUCUACGCUUGAGGCUUCACCUUCUCCUUCUCAUGCACUUUCUCUUAGCCCUUCAGAGGCUCAAGCCGAUACCUCAGAGCCUAUUGCCCCGAUAGAAAUCUCUUCGAAUCGGUAAGCAAUAUCCGCGACUGAAGGAGAGAGCUUAGUCCCGAUGGCGGUAAACGAGGAAGAUGAGGCUGGCGCUGACGAGGGAGCGGAGGCAGAGAGAGCCUUUGGAGCUCUGACAGUUUCCAUGCCUACUGAGGAAACCCUGGUGGAGCUUGUGGUAAUAGGAGAGGAUCCAGGCUGAAAAGGUACCAUCCGAGCAGCAAAAGAUGACUCCUUCGAGUGAUUCAUCUAUGGGGAGUGCAGAAGCAGAACGCCCCAAGGGAUCAGGCUUCGAGGGGCCAAAGGCCACACCUGUGACUGUAGAAGAGGUUGGCGCUGUGGGAGAGCCUGUUGCUGAAGUGAUUAUCAUGGGGGACAAGAGAAAAGAAGGAGAGGGAGAGGGUGUCAAACAUCUCGAAGUGGAGAUGGUUCGAGAAGAGGGGACACAGGGAGAGAUCGCUGCCUCGGGGAUAGGAGGUCGCCGUGGUACAACAUGAGACUGAGGUAGCGACUCCAGGCGAGGAGGCUCGUCUUGCCUCGGCUGCAGUUGUUGUGCUACCUGGGCAUGAAAGGAUCGAUCCCAAUGUAGCCAUGAUAGAGGGUCAGAGUGAGAGAGCCAUUGCCGGGGUACUAGAGCAGCCUGAGGUUUCUCUUGAUUCUUGGGAGCCUGAGGCCAUGGCUAUAGCUGAGGAUCCUCCUAUUAUGAUUAUUCAUGCUACCUUUCCCAGGCCUUCUUUCAGCAUCAUUUUUUAGAUGCUUCAGACGGACCUCCAGAAGCUGAAGGAGCUAUCCCUUGAAGAGGUUGGAACAACGAUCCAACAGUUGAGGGGGAUUGCCUUAAGGAAUGCACAAAAAUCCUCCCUUAUUUUGAUAGCAUUGCAAAUGAGCUGGAGGCAUGGUGGAUGAAGGCUCUAAAGGUGGAAAAGGCCACAACGUGCCUAGAGAGCUUGCGGCUAGAGUCAAUGGAGGCUUCCCUAGCACAGAGUUGGGAGUUGGCAUAGUUCCAGGUAGAAGAGAUAGAGGCUACCACUUCUCAAAAGUCUACUCUUGCUGAGAAGGCCAUAAUGCACAAUAAUAAGGUGCAUCCUGAACGCGAAGAUUGCCAAAUGGGCACAAGAGCUUGCCAAGUUGGAAGAGGAGACGAUAGCUUGGGGGGCCGUAGAUAAGGAACUGAGCCCAAAGGCGAUGGACCUUGAGCGCUCUUUGAGUGAGCAACUAGCCCUAGUGGAGCACGAGGCUGGGUUGGCGACCACAUUGUGGGUGGACAUCGAGCGAGCGAAGGCCUCGGCUGAUGAGUACAGAGGAAGGGUUAAUGAGAUCAUCGACCGUUUUUUAUAGCUGGCUUCCCUGAGUGUUUGAUUGGACAGGGGCUCAUAAUUCAUGGUUCUCAUGAUUUGGUGAUCUCGUUCACUAUAAAUACUCCAGUCUGGGGGAGCUUUGGCUUCGAUUCGAGGUGCAUUGGUUUUGAGCUCGUCAUAGGUCUUAGUCUGAGGGACAAACCCCUUUAAGUGCUUUGAAGCAAUGUGCAUGACCUCCAAUUGACCUUGGAGGUUACGAACCUCGCUUCUCAGCUCUGCUAUGGGGUCUUGUUCCUGAGAGCUCAAGGGAUGACUCUUGUCUGCCUGUACUUCUUCGACAACCCUGAGAAGUGCAAGACCUUCUUUGGGUUGCUGAUGCUUUCCUUAUUCAAGGAGGAUGGAACUUAGAGCACCUUCCUUGGUGGUUGGUAUGCCAGUUCUGCUUCUAUAAGAGCGAUGAGGACACGCAGGACUUUUUGCUGGUCCGAUGUAUAGGUGACCCUCAGUGUUGGAAGGUCUACCUGUAGGGCUUCCUCAAGCUCAAGAGUUGCUUCUAGCUCAUUGUUUUGCUCUAAGGAAUUGGAAGUAGAGGGGGAAGGUUUGUCUUUGGGAGAGGAUACCAAGACCUCGGAGAUGUGGAAAGGUAUACUCGGGUCGAUCGGAGUCAAAGGGAGGAUCUUGCCCUGUCUUUCCUCCUAUUUGAACAUGUCCAUGAUCAUCCUCCCCAGGUCUUCAACGUCAUCAUGGGUCGAGGGUCCCGUCUCUCUCACAUGCCUCCAUUCAUCAUCAUUUGACUUUUAUGGUGCUGAAAGUUCUGUAAAAUAGUACUUGGCGUCGGCAUAGUGAGUCUCAGCUAUAGGAAACAGUCUUUUAUCAGCAUAGACCGUUUUUGUCUCCCAUCACGAUGGUAUUUGAAGCAUUGGUGGAGCGUGGAAGGAACCACCACCUGAUCGUGAAGCCAAGGACAACCAAGCAGGACGUUGUAAGAGGUAUCGGUGUCAAUUAUGUGGAACUGAGUGUAAUCAUUGAGGUCACUAAUCUUGAGAUGAAGGCGCACUGUGCCAGCUGGCUGUUCUCCUGAUUAGUUGAAACCUUACACGGUGAUGUGGGUAAGAGUGAGGUCGUCAGAUCCUAAUCCCAAUCGGAUGAGGAUCCUUCUUGGGAUUAGGUUGACUGCUGACCCUCCAUCCAGCAUGAUCCAGUUGAUAGGGCAGGCAUGGAGUUCUCCAUUCACAAAGAGGGGGAAAUUGUGGAAUUUACCCCCAACCGAAGGUCGUCUUUAGAAAAAGAGAUUGUUAUGAACCCACUUAGGAUGGCUAGGUCAACCUCAAUGGGCUUCACUUCGGUCUCGUAUACCUCUAAGUUAGAAAGAGCUUGCACCAGGGCCAUACAAUAUUCUCUAAACAGCAGGAGGGCAUCAUAUAUACUUGGAAGGGCUGAAAGCUUUCUCAAGUGCCCAAUUACAUCAUACUUCGCUUUAUCCUCAUUAGUCUUCUGUGUGCCAGAUUCAGUCACUGGUGUAGGUGGUAGGGUAGGCUUAGGAACAUGCUUUGGUUGGGUUUUGGUUUGUGACACUGGCUGACUUUGUUGCUCAGCUUGUGCGGUCUAGGUUGAUGGGGAAGUGAUAGGAACUUGUACAACAAAUUUAGAAGUUUGAGAUUUAGGCUUAGGUGUGGAACAAGAUCCUGAGGAUGACUUGGUUUUUCCUUGGGAGGACAGCGCAUCGGUGACUAUCGUGAAUCGAGCCACCUGGGCCAACAUCUCUUUGAGGCGCUCUUGUUGUGGUCGGGUGCUCUCCUUUUAGAGUGUCGAAGUCUAAGCACCGUCGAGCUGUACAUGUGGAGAAAAUAGAAGAGGAGGGAGGAGAAGAAGAGUUAGAACAUUUCGAGUAGCUUUUUACGUUGUCGUCAGAAUUGAACGUGUGCAUGGGUAUUUUAGGUCUUGCCUCAGCUUUGACUGUUGUGGGGUGCUUUUAUCGUCGUCACCCAUAUUGGAGGAAUCCCGAGCUACUGGUGGCUCAGGGAUGUCUGCCUGAUUGGAACAAAGGAUAAGGCAAGCUGUGCCUGAGAUGAAGUCUUGCAAGGUCGGGUUUGGAGGAAAGGGCUUGAGGACUUCUUCCUUGAUUGCUAGCUGAGGGAUGGGAUUCCUUUGGCUGUCUAACCUAGGUGCUCGCCGUCUCCUUCUAGAUCCUUAAGGGGGAGUUUGGACUGCCCUAUCGGGCUGGUGAGUAGUCCUAGCUUGGUGGACUGCCUCACGCUUCAGAGAUUUAAGCGUACUUUACUCAUGGUAGACUUCCCAGGGCUGAGAGGUUGAGGAUUCCGAAGGGUCCAGUGCAUGCUCAUGAAGGUCUUAUACUGUGGCCUCCUCUUGAAUGGGCGCGAUGACCUGGACACUUCUGGGAGAAUUGCACAAACGAUGUGGCGUUGCUGGACUUUCUCCACGACUAUAACUUCGAACUCAAAGCACUCGUUGAAUUCGUGGCCCCAUACAUGGUGAUAUGGGAAUCAGAGCUUUUCCGUACCCUGGGCAAUAUGCCUUGGCUGCUUGAUGGGCUCGGGAAUGAUAAGGCUUGAGGGUGUCUUUUCUCACCUCAUAGAUCCCCUUAAGCUGUCGAAUAACCAACUCGAAGUCACCAAAGACAUUAACCUUUCCAAAUCUAAAUCAAAGGCUAUCUCCAACCCAAUUAUAAGGGCUUGAUAUUCUGCCUCGUUAUGGGAAUCGGCUUCGAUGAGUGAAAAGGAUAAAGGAAGCAUCCCUCCUUUCGGAGUCAUGAAUACUACUCCGACACCUCCUCGAUCAGAUUGAAAAGCUCCGUUGAAGUACAUCUCUCAAGCAUGAGCAAGUUUUGCACAGAAUGCUUCUUCAUCAGGGAGGUCACUUGAUAAAGGAGAUUUUGCUAGUACAAGAUGUGCUGCUAGAAAAUCAGUUAGGGCUUGACCCUUGACAGCCUUUUAUGGUAAAUAUCGCUUGAUUUCAUCAAGUGCUACCUGGCAUGCUUCAUCCCAGAUGACUGGAGUAUCCUUCUUUAACAGGUGUGUAAAGGGUUUACAGCGACCUGACAGGUUCAAGAUGAACCUUCGGAUAUAAGCCAACAACCCUUGAAGGGACCGUAGCUCUCGCAAUGUAGUUGGUGGCGGCAUUUCCUGGAUAGCCUUGAUCUUGACUGGCUGAACUUACAGCCCUCGGUGUCUGACAAUGAAACCCAAGAAUUUUCCUGAGCGCACACCAAAAGCGCAUUUCAACAGAUUCAUCUUGAGCUGAUGAAGGCAUAAUCUUUCGACCACCUUCUCAAGGUCUCCCAUGUGAGCUUCUUUCUUUUCAGAGUUCACCACCAAGUCAUCAACAUAACAUUCGACUUCCUUGUGCAUCACAUCCUGAAAUAUGGUCCUCAUCGCUCUCUAAUACGUGGCACCGGCAUUCUUCAAUUCGAAAGGCAUCAUUGUGUAGUAGAAGAUCGCUUUCGAAGUCAACAACACAGUUGCUUCCUCAUCUUCUGGUGCCAUCCAUAUUUGAUUGUUCCCAGAGUAUCCAUCUAUGAAGGAGAAGAUCUGACAAUGAGCCGUGGAGUCAAUGAGCAUUUCCAUAAAUGGCAACGAAAAGUCAUAUUUCAAGCAAGUGGCAUUCAGGUCACAAAGGUCAAUGCAGACCCUGAUUUGGCUAUUUUUCUUCUUGACUGGUACAAUGUUUGCUAAGAAUUUUGGGUACUUGACAUCACGAAUGAAGCCUACUUGCAUGAGCUUAGUCACCUCAACAUUUAUCUGCAUUUCGAGAUCAAGCUUGAACCUUCUUCAUUUUUGCUUGGCAGGCUUGAUAGAUGGGUCGAUGCCGAAACGGUGGACUACGACUUGAGGAUCUAAAUCAGGCAUCUCAUGGUAAUGCUAGGCAAAGACGUCUCAGUUUGAUCGCAAGAAGGCAAUAAAAUUCUCUUUCUCCUUUGGCGCAUAUUUGCCAAGAUGAAAGUGGGUCUGGGUUGGUUUCAUCCCCUAGAUUUAUCUCCUCUAGUUCAUCAGCCGUGGCUUCGCCACCUUCUUCCCAUUGUUCUAGAGCCUCCUGCAACUCCUCAUCAUUGACUUCAGAGAUCUUCUCGUUAACCUCAAAUGCAGAGAAUCAUGAUGUUGACAUCUCUACUUCCAAUAGAGCUCCAGUGUAAGACAUGAUUUCUACACUUUUCUCGAGUUGAGAAACAGAAGGGUCAACCUCAAACAUGGACAACAUAUCAGGUUGUAGGAGUUUGAUUUUAAAGUUACAGGGAGGUUGAGAUUCAGCAAUUGUGGGGCUAGAGGUACCCUCAAAGGAAUAACUAGGUCUUUGCAUGGGUAUCCGCAGUGUUUACCCUAUGCAAGCUGAUGCUACAUAAACUUGUACUAUGUGGUAAGCUUUCUGAGGAUAGAAGCUCUGCCCUUUUUAUUCUCUCAUCCUCUGCUCAAUAUCGGGCUCAAGAGGCCACUGCGAUUCUUUGGCUUGGACUUCCUGCGAUUAUUUAUAGAAGAAGAAGGCGUUGACUUGCCUUGAGCGGCUAGGGCAUCAUCGACUGUCAAGAAUCCAGCUACCUAGGCUAGUGUCUUUCUCCACUGUCUCCGAUGCGUCCUUUAAAUUGAUUCCUUUGAGUUCUUUGUCAAGAGCCUCUAAGUCUUUACAUUUCAAGAUUGUACCUACAUGAGAUAUAGAAGGGAAAGAAUAAGAAGAAGAGGAGGAACAGAGGUUAGUAGCUGAGGGACCUUUUAGGUCAUUCCCCUAAUCGGACCAAUUUGGGCUGCUUUUUACGUCAUCACCAGAAUUGGACAUGUGCAGGGGGGACUUUUAGAUCUAUCCCUUGCUUAGUCCAUUGGGGGUGCUUUUAAUGUCGUCACCCUCAUUGGAUGUGCCCGAGUAGAAGAUGGCCCUGGGGUCUCCUCUUGGUGAAGUGAAGGGGUAAGGAUAAUUGUGCCGGGGAUGAAGUCCUAUAUGGUCAGGAACGGGGGAAAUGACCUAAGGAAUUCUUGCUCGACUGGCGAUUGGGGGAUCUUAUUCCUUCGGCAAGCAGCCCUUGGGGACCUACCAUCAUCCUAAACCGGAGGGCUACAGAGUGCAAGAUCAUGAUCGGAGGUCACAUACGUUACUCAAGUGGGAGUGGCAUCAACAUGUGUCUUAAUUGCAGAAUCAAAGCAACCACGACAAAAAGCACAAACGCCCACAAGAAACAACAACAAAAUCUAGAUAAAUUAAAACCACUCAUAUCCAGAUGAAUUCUCCAAAAGUCAUAACUACAAUAUCCAGAAUAUUACAAUUCAUCCAAGGCACCAAAUCCUAUUUAACAAAAUUUCAAAGCUUCACAAACAACAUAGUACAGCAGACGACCAGCUGACACCUACAAAAACAAGGAGAUCUUCUUGUCUAGCGCAGGCCUUCAGUUCACCAAACACGAUCACCACCCGCCUGUCUUCGACCUGUAGCUGCUAAUCGACAAGGGUGGAAGUAAAGGAAUGAGCCAGAAAUCCCAGUAAGUAGAUCACAAUAUCAUGCUUCCCUGUCUAGGAAUAUUAUCACACAUCACAAAUCAAGGUUCUAAGCCAUGUUCAUAAAACAGGAGUCAUGCAUCACAAUUACGUCACAAUUAUAGAAUGAUGCUUUUUAUGGUAGAGCAGGAACAAUAUAAGAUGUAAGAUAUCAUCUACAGAAGCAAUCUAUCAAAUUUCAACAGAUCCACACAAACAAGAGAGCAUAACCAAAUCAACCAACACAACCCCACUCUGUAGCCCUAUUCAUCCCUAAGCAUAUACUCUUACUACUGGUAUCCCUUCUAGCUGAGACUGAAUAUCCCGAUUCUCUACUACAUAGGCUAGAUAUCCCUCACAUCUCUUAGUCAGGAGGCAAGAGGCUUGAAGAGUAGAAAUAAAGUAUAGAGGUGGAGUAUCCCUAGUGCCCUUAGAGUGUAGUUUAUUUUGGUCAGGGCUUUUAAAGGUCACCGUCUUUUCAAGGAAAUUGACAGUGGCAUGGUGUGUAUACAACCAAUCCAUGACCAGAAUAACAUCAAAAUCUUGAAUAUCUAAAAUGAUCAAGUCCACAGGCAGGUAACACCCAUCAGUUGUGACUCCACACUAUCUAUACACUCUAUCAGUUUCCAUAGAAUCCCUCAUAGGAGUGCAUACUACUAGAGUAUAAUCAAGACAGGCAAGCUCAACAUUUAGAUAACAAGCAAAAUGGGGUGCAAUAAAAGACUGAGAGGAAUGGUCAAUUAAGGCUCUAGCUUUAACAACACAAAUAGAGAGCUUACUUCUGAUCACCGAGGUGGACGCCUUAGCUUCUUGUUUGGUGAGGGCAAACACUCAUCCUUGUGCCUUUAGUCGGUCCUCUGUCUUUAUCGUAGGGCAAUCCUUAGCUCAAUGGCUGGGCUUGCCACAUAUGAGGCGCAUGUUCCGCUUCCUGGAACAUUCGCAGUAGUGUGGUUGCCUUUUCCACAAUGAGAGCAUACGGGGCAUCGAUCACUUUCCAUAUUGCCUGGGUGAUUCUUCUAGGCCCUCUGAUUAAGCUGGUAGGGCCUUCCUCUAAUAUCCCUCCUCAAAAAUUGUUGAGGCUUCUUUCAAAACCUCCCCGGCGCACAACCUUCAUCUUUUAUUCCUUCCUCGAUCUAUGGUCCUCGCAGUCCCUUUCAAUCUUUAAGGCAAGGUCUACCAAUGGGGCGUAAGCCUUCAGGUUAGGCGACAAUACUCUUCCUCUAAUACCAGUUCGAAGGCCUCUCUCAAAUUUGGCUUCCUUUCGGGCCUCGGUGUUAAUAAUGUGAGGUGCGUACCUAGACAAUUCCACAAAUUUAACGGCAUAUUGUUCAACUCUCACACUCCCUUGCUGGAAUUCAAUAAACUCUACUUCUUUCCUCUCCCUAGCAGAGUUUGGGAAGUAUUUCUUGUCAAACACUGCCAAGAAGUUUCCCCAUGUGGCUUUGGUUCCUGACUCCCUCCAGGAUUGCUUAACCGAGUUCCAUCAAUGUUCUGCCUCUCCUUCCAGCAUGAAGGCUCCUAAUCUGACUUUCUACUCAUCUGAUCAAUGCAACUCUUCUAGGAUCAUUUCUAUGUGUUUCUUCUACCUCUCAUCUUUUUCUACUCCUCCUUGCCCCAAAACAGUUAGAGGCGUCGGCCUUCUAAACCUCUCUAUAAGGCUACUGUCAUUCUGCUAUGAGGUAGGGGUAGACUGAGCUGGCAUUGACUCUUUCAUCAUUUGGGUCCUUGCCCCCAGAGCUCUAUAAAACUCACCGAGCAUCUCGGUGUUCUCAUUGCUGGAGCUCGCAUUGUUGGCACGAGCCCUCGGCAUCUUCAACUUAGCAUAGGAGCACCCAAUCACCAAUCAAUCCUAAAACUAUUCCAAGGACUCUUCUAAAUCCCCCUAGGCCAAGAAUCCUAUCCUGGAGGAUCUGAUACCAUAUGUGUCACGACCCUGCCCCUGACCCCCAUUCCGUACUCGACGGAGGAUGAUCGGAUGCAGAUUCAUGAUCUCUAUGUAGCGUAUGUCACUCAAGUUGGAGUGAACUCAACACUUUAAUAAUUCGGUAAAUGGAGCAAACCAUGGAAAAUAACUAAAUCAAUAAUUCUAAGUACAAAUAAAUAUUUAAAACUUGGAGAAUCCAUACAUCAUUAAAAGGACAUUAUAGAAAGUUCUUCAAAAAAUAUUACACUUGAGUCUGAGGCACCAGAGCCCAAAAGUACAUACAUUCCGAAAUAAACAAAAUACAGGGCUAACUGUCAAUUACAUACAAGAUCUGGACUUCCUCUUAAGCAGAAAAGACUUCAACUCCCAACUGCAACACACGAACUUCUGGCCCUCGACUUUGUGCUAUCAAUCUACAAGUGGGGAGAUGCAGGGGAAUGAGCUGGAAAGUCCAGUAAGUAGAUCUUGGUCUUAUGCAUCAUUAAUAAGUCCAUUCAUAUAUCAUAAGCUAUUCUUCCAAUUAUAAGAGGUCAUCAAGCAAUAGUCAUGUAUCUUAGAAAUCAGAUCAAUAUAUCAAUUACGACAUCAUAUCCAAAUGUCAAGUAUCAUUCAAUCAUUACAAUCAUCAGCAUUCACAAUCACUAUCCAAAUAUUACCCACUCACUCCUUAGUUCACCUACUCCCAAAGUAGAGGCCGUAUCCAUCAGGCUAAGCCAAUCCCAUUGCUUAGGACCUCUACCAUCUCACUGGAGGGAGGGCAAUAAUAAGUGGGUGAAUCCACUUCGUAAUGCCCCCGUACUCACACACACGGUCCCCAGCACGCAUUGGGGCUUUCGAUAGGUACUUACCUUGUAAGGUAUCAGUCGUUAGUCUCAUCUCAGUAAUCUCGGGGGGUGCAACCCUCCCGUUUCACUUUCCCCUAACUCCAUUCUAUCAUUCAGCAAAACCGGCGUCACUUUCCUCAGUAUAGCAAUCCUCACUACCGAUGAGUGCCCCAUCACGUAGCGAGCAGUACCAAUAAAACAGUAUCCGCUACCAAUGGAUGCCCCAUCACGUAGCGACCAGUACCAGUGAAUUAAUGGCCAGUAUCACAGUAUUACCAAAGAAUAGGGCCCACUACCAAUGGAUGUCCCAUUGCGUAGUGGUCAAUAUUAUGGCCUUUGAUCAUGCUCAAGCAUUUAAUUUCACUCAUGCUAAAUCAGUGUAUUAUAACAGAUAAAUCAAAUUUUCAUCAUGCAAGAACAAAUUCUUACUCAGAAACAUCCAACAUUCACAAAACAUUAUAACAUUUAUUAUGGAGCAUCCAUUGCAUGAGCUAUCACAAGGCAUUUACGCUUAGACGUUAACAGUAGUGAUUCGACAGUUAUCAUGUAACAUUCAUCAUAGAAUAACCACAUUAGUUUUGCACUUAUCCAUUUAUUACAUAGCACAUAUUUACAUAGCACCAUCCACAUAACACUAUGGCAUUCGCAUGAAAAACAUCGCAUACUACUCACAUUUAUCACUUAUCAAAUAUGUUACAUAGCUACUUGAAUAGCUUAUUGAGUAAUUUCGAGAGGUGGCAGAAAACGAGCAUAACACAAAUUUUGUGGGGUGCAACUAUGACAUACCCCUCUACUCGGGGGCGGAAUUCCCCAAUCUAGGGGGAUUUUCGAAAAACUUUAAACAGGCAACAUUAAGUUCUUACCCAAGGCUUUAAAAUGGUGGUGAGUUGAAGGAAUUUGAAAAAUUUCUAAUAGUAAAAAACUUGGCUCAAAACGAUUGAAGGUUGCUAGAAUUUUACUGCAACAGUGGGUAGUGACGUACCCACACAUUUUACGGCGUAACUCAAAUUUUACGAGAAAUCCAAAAAUUAUCAAAACAUGCAACUUCAAGCUUAUUCGCUAAUCUUUUAAAUGGUAGAAGUUUGAAGGCGUUUGGACACCAUUUGAUAGGCCAAAAGUGCGGCACAGUUGCUAGAAUUAACCGCAACUGUGGGCAGUGAUAUGCCCCAAUAUUUUGGGGUAUAUCUUUUGAUCCAUACAAAAUUUUAAAUAGUAAAUGAGGAAAACUUAAAAUAGACAUACAUAUCUUUCAUUCAAGACCAAUUUGGAUAUAUUUGGGUGCCGUUUGGUCGCUGAAAAUCCCAAGGCAAAGACCCUCACAGUUGCUGGAAAAAUCCCUUAUCCCACGAUUUAGCAAGCUAUCCACAUGAUACACACCAUUUCACAAACCAAAAACAAAACCCAGCAAAAGCCUUAUUCAUGUCAAGCAAUUUAAGCAAGUUUUACAAGAAAACUACUCUAUAAAUUUAUCAAGUUCAUUUCUCAAUGCUCAAUCACUCAUUCAACCCCUUUAUAUUCAUUUAUUUUCAUAUACCUCAUUCUAUAAUCUUGCUCUGCAUAGCAACUUAAAUGUAGAUCUUAUGACGUGAAAUGAUGCACGACACUAAACCCACUUACCUGGUGUUCACAGUGUCUUUAAAUCUCCCACUCGCAGGCCACCUCGAGCUCCAAGCAAUGGCUUCUCCAAGGCAUUACUCCAACUGGUUUUAGAGAGAGAAAGUGCAAGGGAAAAGUGAGGGGAACUGUGGUUAAAAGGGGAGGGGAGAGGGCUUAAGUACUGAGGGUAGGUGAAGGUCACUGUAGCGGACGUGUUUGGCUCUGACAGGUGCGGAUUUACACGUACGACACGGACAAGUGUGGCGCUGGCAGCGGUCACACCUUUCCCCCUUCUCUGCUUUCACGCGUGGUAAUACUCCAGUUCACACGCGGCAAUGCUCAAAUUUUCACUUGCGGUGAUGCCUCUUUGCACGCGACAUUACUCUUCCUUCUCUCUCUUCACAGCUAGCAUUAGGCCUCUUCCACAGGCGGUGAUGCUCAUCCCUAUCUUCACCCACGGUGCUGACUUUUCAUGCGACGCUGGUUCUCUCUCUCUCUUCUUCAUUUCACAAACGACGCUGGGUCACAUGAGGCACUAAGCUCUUAUACACGCGCGGCGACACUUCAAACGGUGCUAGGCCUCUGUUUGACCCUUCAUCAUCGUGCACAUAUUUGGACUGGGAGAAAAUUGUGGUCCUUAUAGACUGUGCUUUUUUAAUAGGACUAUAAAAGUGCAAUCAAUGUGCACCUUAAGAUUCCAAUAGGUAGUCAAAUAGGCAAAGGACAAUUCCAAUGGUUAAUUAUGAAUUAUUUUCAUGCUAUGGAAAAUACGG